UCCGUAGGUGAACCUGCGGAGGGAUCAUUACACAAUAACAAGGCGGGUUGGACACCCCCCGCUGGGCACUGCUUCACGGCGUGCGCGGCGGGGCCGGCCCUGCUGAAUUAUUCACCCGUGUCUUUUGCGUACUUCUUGUUUCCUGGGUGGGCUCGCCCGCCCUCAGGACCAACCACAAACCUUUUGCAAUAGCAAUCAGCGUCAGUAACAACGUAAUUAAUUACAACUUUCAACAACGGAUCUCUUGGUUCUGGCAUCGAUGAAGAACGCAGCGAAAUGCGAUACGUAGUGUGAAUUGCAGAAUUCAGUGAAUCAUCGAAUCUUUGAACGCACAUUGCGCCCUUUGGUAUUCCAAAGGGCAUGCCUGUUCGAGCGUCAUUUGUACCCUCAAGCUUUGCUUGGUGUUGGGCGUCUUUUGUCUCCAGUUCGCUGGAGACUCGCCUUAAAGUCAUUGGCAGCCGGCCUACUGGUUUCGGAGCGCAGCACAAGUCGCGCUCUUCGCCAGCCAAGGUCAGCGUCCAGCAAGCCUUUUUUUCAACCUUGACCUCGGAUCA
rnacentral:sRNA from 1 species